UACGUAGGGGCCGAGCGUUGUCCGGAGUUAUUGGGCGUAAAGCGCGCGCAGGCGGCUUCGCGCGCCCGACGUGAAAGCCCCCGGCUUAACCGGGGAGAGUCGUUGGGGACGGCGAGGCUUGAGGGCGGGAGAGGGUGGUGGAAUUCCCGGUGUAGUGGUGAAAUGCGUAGAGAUCGGGAGGAACACCCGUGGCGAAGGCGGCCACCUGGGCCGACCCUGACGCUGAGGCGCGAAGGCGUGGGGAGCGAAC
rnacentral:rRNA from 1 species